GGCCAGAUUUCGCCGUUCUAACGAGAUACCACGCUUCAAAGAACUUCCUGCGAGCCCUGUUUAGUGACUUCCUGUCAGGUGUCUCAUUUCUUGGGCCAGAACAGAACGGCCUCAGCCCCGGACGCUGGGCCCUGUCCCUGUGGCUGAGCACUGGCUGCCAGUGAGUCUUGUUACAGGAAGCGGGUGGGCGCCGCCCGGGGAGCAGCAGCCUAACAGGGCUCAGGUUGAGGCUGCCUGCGUGCGUUGGUUUGGAAGCGUUUCUUUAAGAAUCAGCCCUAUUAAUAGGCACAGCUCAUUUUUCAUAGAGAGCGGGAUUUCCACUGUCUACCCUCAUUGAGAUUCUUUCUCCUCGAAGCUGAAAUAACUGUAAUAACUGUGGCCCUUGUCAUUUGCCCCAGAUGCGGGCUCUGCUCCAGUUUCCCCACUCCAAUCUGUGAACUGAGUGGCCGUGACAGAGUAAGAAAUAGAUUUUCGGAUGAGGUACGGUGAGUGCACCUGGGAUCUCAGCUGCUGCUCAGGAGGCUGAGGCAGGAGGAUCACAAGUUUGAGAGAGAGAGAGAGAGAGGAAUAUGUAGCUUUGGCGGCACAGAAGGGGAGCUGUGGACCCUCAGAUUCCUGGUGGGUCACAGGUCCGGGUGCACCGGAUGGGAAGCAGGGACCCGGCUCUAACCAGAGUUGUGCUGCGCUCCAGACACCCCCGGGGGAUGUUUGUUUCCCUGGCACUGGGCAUGGAACCCCGGCUGCUGAGCUACACCCCAGCCCUUGUUGUGAUUUUUAUUUCGAGGCAGUGUCAUGCGCAAGCUAUGCCAGUGACAUGGAACAGCCAGCCACCUUCGUGUCCUUCCACAAAAUCAGAAUUUAUGGGGUCAACAGUGCGUUUACAGUCACAUCCCUCACCCGGAUCUCAGGAGGUCCCGAGACAGGACACAGAGGACUCCACUUGUCCACGGAGCAGGCCCUUGACUGACGGCCACAGAAAAAGCACCGCAGUGUUACCAGGCGGUCUCCUUCUCCGAGUGUCGCCAAAUAAAUGUUACUGGCUUCUGGGUUGUUCUCAUCUCCUUCUGGAAUUGGAUUCCAGGUCCUCGUCAUGUCAAAGAAAGAACUGAAUGAAAUGAGAAGGAGAGAGAGAGAGAGAGAGAGAGAGAGAGAGAGAGAGAGAGAGAGAAAGUAGCUGGGUGUGGUGGUGCACGCCUGUAAUCCCAGCACUUGGAGGCUGAGGCAGGAGGAUUGCAGCUCAUCCCAGGCCUGCCUGGGCUACAGAGUGAGUUCCAGGCCUUCGCGGAAUAGCUGGGCAGGGUCCCGUUGGUCACUAGCUCAGUUCUGAGUGCUCACUGGCAGCUGGAUGUCCCUGGAAACCUCUCACUGGUGUCCUCAGUCUUGCAGGGGGAUGAGAUGGGUUAUGCAGAUUCAGAGCUGAUCAACCCUGUCUUGUCAGCUGCCGCACAGACAGAUGCUCCCUGCGGGGUGAGUGUGUAAUGUGCAGCACUAGGUCCAACCAAAGCUUUAAAGUAAUCAGAGAUAAGGACAAAAUGAAGAUCAAGUUUUGUUCUGCUCUUACUUACCUGUUGGACUGGCAGAAAUCGGGUUUUUGGCCAAAGCAGCUUUUGUUUUUGAGACAGGGUCUUAUUCUGUGGUCCAGACUGGCCUUGGUCUUACUAUGUAGCCCAGGCUGGCCUCAAAUUCCCAGCAAUCCUCCUGCCUCGGCCUCCCCAGUGCUGGGCCAUAGCAGCUUUUAAGUCACAAACUGCCUCAGAGGAAAACAAAUCAUGCUUUUUGAUGAGUAACAGGUUAGAAUCAGGUGUGAGUUUGUCCUCUGUCUCUCUAUGGUGAUCUGCGUCCGUGUCAACUCCGUCUGGGCCACCAGCCAACAAACUGCAAGCUUCUAGAGAGCACUGUGCUGAAUUUCCCUGCUUCCAAUGAAGGAUUUCCAUUCAGCAAGGGACACCACAAUGGUACUGAGUAAAUGACAAUCUAGGAAAGGCAUUGUGAUCCAUGAAAUCAACACAGAAUUACAAGUAUUCAAGCAGCACAAGAAAAUCAACAGGAGAAAGCAGGAAACCACAGGGGGGAAAAAAAUGAGUAGCAGUUUCACAGAAGACCCUGUCUCAAAAAAACCAAACCAAACAACAAACAAAUCAAAAAAAUCACCCAACAGUAACAAAAAACAAAUAGGCUGAUGGGCAUAUAGUCAGAGAUAACUAGAGGCACAAGGAAAUGACACCCAGGCCCCUGGAGUAGGAGCCCGGUCUGGUUUUCUUUUUUAAUGCAGUACUGGGGGUUGAACCCAGGGCCUUCACACUAAAAUAUAUUCUCAGCUCUAUUUUGUUUAUUGUAUUUCUUUCUUGUUCUUAUUUUUUUGUUUUUGAGACAGGGAAUCAUGUGGUUCAGGCUGGUCUUGAACUCACUAUGUAGCCCAGACUGGCCUCAAACUUACAGCGAUCCUCCUGCCUCAGUCUCCUAAGUGCCAGGAUCAUAGGCGUGCGCCACCACACCUGGCACAAGAAGUUGAUUUUUUUUUUUUAAAGGCUGGGUUGGGAGUAGAGCUUGUGCUUAUCAUGUGCCAGCUAACCUCAGCACUAAAAAGGAAACUGAUUUUUAAAUAUAUUUUAUUUAUAUUGCUGUUGUAUUAAAAUCACUUCAUUUGUUUUAUUCAAGUUCCUACAUGGGCUGGGGUGUACUUUAAGGUAGAGCACUUGGCCCGGCAUGUGCUAGGCCCUGAAUUUGGUCCCUCACAUCAUAAAAAUGGAAAUGAAGUCCACGCAUCUUUGCUGUAGGAGAAGUAACCCACACUAUAUGGCAUCGCUGCUUUAGAAAAAUAAAAUUCUAUUACAAUGUCGGUAUUUUUCUUUUUUCUUAUUUUGGUACGGGGGAUCAAACUCUGGUCCUUACAUUUGCGAGGAAGCAGAACCACUGAGCUGAAUCCGUGGCCCAGUGUCAGUAUUUUUCUGUACCGGUGGUUGGUAUCACUACACAGUCUGGUAUAACUGAGCUCACAGCCAAAACGCAAAGCUGACACAUUAGUUGGCCCCAAUCAAUUUUCCAGGGACUCCAUUUGUGUCGUCCAUGUUUGCCACACAUUAGCAAAACAAUCCCCCCGUGCUUGGAUAUAUUUGCAAAGUCAAUGAUUAAUUAUUUAAUGGCACUAAAAGCAUUUCGAAGAGCAUAUAAACUGGGUGUGGAGGAGCACACCUGUCAUCCCAGCACUCAGGAGGCUGUGGCAGGAGGAUCGCCAGGAGUUUGAGGCCAGCCUGGGCUACACAGUGAGACCCUGCCUCAAAAAACAAACAGCCAGGGAUGUAGCUCAGUGGUUCCACCACCUGCCUCUCAAGCACAAGAUUCCCAGUUCAACCCCAGUACAAAAAAGAAAACAUAAAGCAGCCAGAUGGCACAGGCCUGUGACCCACUGAAGCAGAAAGUCAGAGCCCAGCUGUGUGACUCCGUGAUUCAGCACGCGGCCCAGGCUGGUCUCUAACCCCCGCCCUUUCUUUUGUUGUUCAGGUUGGUCAGGAACUUCUGGGCUCAAGUGAUCCUCCUGCCUCAGCCUCCUAAGUAGCUAGCACUACAGUCCAGAGCCACCAUGCCUGGCUUUGUAUUAAUGUACAUCCACUGAUAAGUACUCCUUGUGGAAAGUUGAUUAAAUCAAGAGAUUCAGACCAGAACAGUACUUUAAAUCCCUUUGUACCCCAUAUUCUAUGGAGCAAACUGAACCUGUCUUGUUAAAAUCAGACCCUCGGAUCAAAAUAUUGGAUGCUGACAAUAUUUUAAACCCUUGGCAAUUCCUGAGCAUCUCUGUCUUGUCUGCACGAUGAUCCCUGGACAAAGUCCAGCAGGGGGCUGCCCAGUCUGCUGUCCCAUGAGAGCAAUGCCAGCCUGCCUGGUGCCCAAUGCGGGGCAGCCCACGGAAGCUACCCUCGCUGGCUGUGUCUUCUGCCUUGCUGGGGUGAAACUGCUUCCACUGAGGCUGCAUUUGCAAGCUCCUUGUUAAGGGAUUAAAAUGUCACUGGCUCGCUUUGUUGUACAGGGAAGCUCAGCUCAGAUAUAAUUUUAUUAGAUUCUGGAGGCUCCAGGGGCUUCUCCUAAGCAAGCUGCUUGUUAACGCCCCCCCACUUUUGUACAUAAACAAAAUCCAAAAUUGGAAAAA
ensembl:lincRNA